rnacentral:rRNA from 1 species
GACGAAGGGGGCUAGCGUUGUUCGGAAUUACUGGGCGUAAAGCGCGUGUAGGCGGUUGUUCAAGGCAGGGGUGAAAGCCUUGAGCUCAACUCAAGAAAUGCACUUGAUACUGGAUGACUAGAGGACCGGAGAGGAUAGUGGAAUUCCCAGUGUAGUGGUGAAAUACGUAGAGAUUGGGAAGAACACCAGUGGCGAAGGCGGCUAUCUGGACGGUUUCUGACGCUAAGACGCGAAAGCGUGGGGAGCAAACAGG